CAGCCGUAAACUAUGCUCGCUAGGUGUCAGGCAUGGCGCGACCGUGUCUGGUGCCGCAGGGAAGCCGUGAAGCGAGCCACCUGGGAAGUACGGCCGCAAGGCUGAAACUUAAAGGAUUGGCGGGGGAGCACAACAACGGGUGGAGCCUGCGGUUAAUGGACUCAACGCCGGACAACUCACCGGGGACGAUAGCAAUAUGUAGGCCAGGCUGAAGACCUUGCCUGAAUCGCUGAGAGGUGGUGCAUGGCGUAGACGUCU
rnacentral:rRNA from 1 species